GACGAACGCUGGCGGCGUGCUUAACACAUGCAAGUCGAACGGAAAGGCCCCUUUGGGGUUACUCGAGUGGCGAACGGGUGCGUAACACGUGCGUAACCUGCCCUUGCCUUCGGGAUAACUUCCGGAAACUGGGGCUAAUACCGGCUAGGAAUCCUUUCUGCAUGGUGGGGGUUGGAAAGCUUCGGCGGUUUUGGAUGGACUCGCGGCUUAUCAGCUUGUUGGUGGGGUAGUGGCUUACCAAGGGUUUGACGGGUAGCCGGCCUGAGAGGGCGACCGGCCAAAUUGGGACUGAGAUACGGCCAAGACUCCUACGGGAGGAAGAAGUGGGGAAUAUUGAAAAAGGGGCGGAAGCCUGAGGCAGCAACGCCGCGUGCGGAUGACGGCCUUCGGGUUGUAAACCGCUUUCAGCAGGGGAGAAGCUUGUGGUGACGGUACCGGCAGAAGAAGCACCGGCUAACUACGUG
rnacentral:rRNA from 1 species